AGGGCACCACCAGGAGUGGAGCCUGCGGCUUAAUUUGACUCAACACGGGAAAACUCACCCGGCCCGGACACUGGAAGGAUUGACAGAUUGAGAGCUCUUUCUUGAUUCAGUGGGUGGUGGUGCAUGGCCGUUCUUAGUUGGUGGAGUGAUUUGUCUGGUAAAUUCCGAUAACGAACGAGACUCUAGCCUACUAAAUAGAUCGUCGGCUUACAAACGCCGGCGAGACUUCUUAGAGGGACAGGCGGUGAUUCAACCGCACGAAACAGAGCAAUAACAGGUCCGUGAUGCCCUUAGAUGUCCGGGGCCGCACGCGCGCUACACUGAAGUGAUCAGCGUGCUUUUUCAACCUACUCUGUCAAGAGUGGGGAACCCAAUGAACCUUCUUCGUGAUUGGGAUAGGGGAUUGUAAUUAUUCCCCUUGAACGAGGAAUUCCCAGUAAGCGCGAGUCAUAAGCUCGCGUUGAUUACGUCCCUGCCCUUUGUACACACCGCCCGUCGCUACUACCGAUUGAAUGUUUU
rnacentral:rRNA from 1 species